rnacentral:rRNA from 1 species
UACGUAGGGGACGAGCGUUGUCCGGAAUUACUGGGCGUAAAGGGCGCGCAGGCGGUAUAUCAAGUCAGCUGUCAAAGACUGGGGCUCAACCCUGGUAUGCGGUUGAAACUGAUAUGCUGGAGUGCUGUAGAGGCAAGUGGAAUGCCCAGUGUAGCGGUGAAAUGCGUAGAUAUUGGGAAGAACACCGGUGGCGAAGGCGACUUGCUGGGCAGCAACUGACGCUGAGGCGCGAAAGCCAGGGGAGCAAACGGGAUUAGA